AAUAAAAUGGCUGAGUUUAAGCGAUAAAUUGUAAAUUUAUUAACGAGAUUUUUUUUCUCUUUUAUUA
rnacentral:tRNA from 1 species